rnacentral:rRNA from 1 species
GAUUAAGUUAUUAAGGGCGCACGGUGGAUGCCUUGGCACUAGAAGCCGAUGAAGGACGUUACUAACGACGAUAUGCUUUGGGGAGCUGUAAGUAAGCUUUGAUCCAGAGAUUUCCGAAUGGGGAAACCCAGCAUGAGUUAUGUCAUGUUAUCGAUAUGUGAAUACAUAGCAUAUCAGAAGGCACACCCGGAGAACUGAAACAUCUUAGUACCCGGAGGAAGAGAAAGAAAAUUCGAUUCCCUUAGUAGCGGCGAGCGAAACGGGAAGAGCCCAAACCAACAAGCUUGCUUGUUGGGGUUGUAGGACACUCUAUACGGAGUUACAAAGGACGACAUUAGACGAAUCAUCUGGAAAGAUGAAUCAAAGAAGGUAAUAAUCCUGUAGUCGAAAAUGUUGUCUCUCUUGAGUGGAUCCUGAGUACGACGGAGCACGUGAAAUUCCGUCGGAAUCUGGGAGGACCAUCUCCUAAGGCUAAAUACUCUCUAGUGACCGAUAGUGAACCAGUACCGUGAGGGAAAGGUGAAAAGCACCCCGGAAGGGGAGUGAAAUAGAACCUGAAACCGUGUGCUUACAAGUAGUCAGAGCCCGUUAAUGGGUGAUGGCGUGCCUUUUGUAGAAUGAACCGGCGAGUUACGAUUUGAUGCAAAGGUUAAGCAGUAAAUGUGGAGCCGUAGCGAAAGCGAGUCUGAAUAGGGCGUUUAGUAUUUGGUCGUAGACCCGAAACCAGGUGAUCUACCCUUGGUCAGGUUGAAGUUCAGGUAACACUGAAUGGAGGACCGAACCGACUUACGUUGAAAAGUGAGCGGAUGAACUGAGGGUAGCGGAGAAAUUCCAAUCGAACCUGGAGAUAGCUGGUUCUCUCCGAAAUAGCUUUAGGGCUAGCCUCAAGUGAUGAUUAUUGGAGGUAGAGCACUGUUUGGACGAGGGGCCCCUCUCGGGUUACCGAAUUCAGACAAACUCCGAAUGCCAAUUAAUUUAACUUGGGAGUCAGAACAUGGGUGAUAAGGUCCGUGUUCGAAAGGGAAACAGCCCAGACCACCAGCUAAGGUCCCAAAAUAUAUGUUAAGUGGAAAAGGAUGUGGCGUUGCCCAGACAACUAGGAUGUUGGCUUAGAAGCAGCCAUCAUUUAAAGAGUGCGUAAUAGCUCACUAGUCGAGUGACACUGCGCCGAAAAUGUACCGGGGCUAAACAUAUUACCGAAGCUGUGGAUUGUCCUUUGGACAAUGGUAGGAGAGCGUUCUAAGGGCGUUGAAGCAUGAUCGUAAGGACAUGUGGAGCGCUUAGAAGUGAGAAUGCCGGUGUGAGUAGCGAAAGACGGGUGAGAAUCCCGUCCACCGAUUGACUAAGGUUUCCAGAGGAAGGCUCGUCCGCUCUGGGUUAGUCGGGUCCUAAGCUGAGGCCGACAGGCGUAGGCGAUGGAUAACAGGUUGAUAUUCCUGUACCACCUAUAAUCGUUUUAAUCGAUGGGGGGACGCAGUAGGAUAGGCGAAGCGUGCGAUUGGAUUGCACGUCUAAGCAGUAAGGCUGAGUAUUAGGCAAAUCCGGUACUCGUUAAGGCUGAGCUGUGAUGGGGAGAAGACAUUGUGUCUUCGAGUCGUUGAUUUCACACUGCCGAGAAAAGCCUCUAGAUAGAAAAUAGGUGCCCGUACCGCAAACCGACACAGGUAGUCAAGAUGAGAAUUCUAAGGUGAGCGAGCGAACUCUCGUUAAGGAACUCGGCAAAAUGACCCCGUAACUUCGGGAGAAGGGGUGCUCUUUAGGGUUAACGCCCAGAAGAGCCGCAGUGAAUAGGCCCAAGCGACUGUUUAUCAAAAACACAGGUCUCUGCUAAACCGUAAGGUGAUGUAUAGGGGCUGACGCCUGCCCGGUGCUGGAAGGUUAAGAGGAGUGGUUAGCUUCUGCGAAGCUACGAAUCGAAGCCCCAGUAAACGGCGGCCGUAACUAUAACGGUCCUAAGGUAGCGAAAUUCCUUGUCGGGUAAGUUCCGACCCGCACGAAAGGCGUAACGAUUUGGGCACUGUCUCAACGAGAGACUCGGUGAAAUCAUAGUACCUGUGAAGAUGCAGGUUACCCGCGACAGGACGGAAAGACCCCGUGGAGCUUUACUGUAGCCUGAUAUUGAAAUUCGGCACAGCUUGUACAGGAUAGGUAGGAGCCUUUGAAACGUGAGCGCUAGCUUACGUGGAGGCGCUGGUGGGAUACUACCCUAGCUGUGUUGGCUUUCUAACCCGCACCACUUAUCGUGGUGGGAGACAGUGUCAGGCGGGCAGUUUGACUGGGGCGGUCGCCUCCUAAAAGGUAACGGAGGCGCUCAAAGGUUCCCUCAGAAUGGUUGGAAAUCAUUCAUAGAGUGUAAAGGCAUAAGGGAGCUUGACUGCGAGACCUACAAGUCGAGCAGGGUCGAAAGACGGACUUAGUGAUCCGGUGGUUCCGCAUGGAAGGGCCAUCGCUCAACGGAUAAAAGCUACCCCGGGGAUAACAGGCUUAUCUCCCCCAAGAGUUCACAUCGACGGGGAGGUUUGGCACCCUCGAUGUCGGCUCAUCGCAUCCUGGGGCUGUAGUCGGUCCCAAGGGUUGGGCUGUUCGCCCAUUAAAGCGGUACGCGAGCUGGGUUCAGAACGUCGUGAGACAGUUCGGUCCCUAUCCGUCGUGGGCGUAGGAAAUUUGAGAGGAGCUGUCCUUAGUACGAGAGGACCGGGAUGGACAUACCUCUGGUGUACCAGUUGUCGUGCCAACGGCAUAGCUGGGUAGCUAUGUGUGGACGGGAUAAGUGCUGAAAGCAUCUAAGCAUGAAGCCCCCCUCAAGAUGAGAUUUCCCAACUUCGGUUAUAAGAUCCCUCAAAGAUGAUGAGGUUAAUAGGUUCGAGGUGGAAGCAUGGUGACAUGUGGAGCUGACGAAUACUAAUCGAUCGAAGACUUAAUCAA